rnacentral:rRNA from 1 species
GAUGAACGCUGGCGGCGUGCCUAAUACAUGCAAGUCGAGCGAACAGACGAGGAGCUUGCUCCUCUGAUGUUAGCGGCGGACGGGUGAGUAACACGUGGAUAACCUACCUAUAAGACUGGGAUAACUUCGGGAAACCGGAGCUAAUACCGGAUAACAUGUUGAACCGCAUGGUUCAACAGUGAAAGACGGUCUUGCUGUCACUUAUAGAUGGAUCCGCGCCGCAUUAGCUAGUUGGUAAGGUAACGGCUUACCAAGGCAACGAUGCGUAGCCGACCUGAGAGGGUGAUCGGCCACACUGGAACUGAGACACGGUCCAGACUCCUUCGGGAGGCAGCAGUAGGGAAUCUUCCGCAAUGGGCGAAAGCCUGACGGAGCAACGCCGCGUGAGUGAAGAAGGUCUUCGGAUCGUAAAACUCUGUUAUUAGGGAAGAACAAAUGUGUAAGUAACUAUGCACGUCUUGACGGUACCUAAUCAGAAAGCCACGGCUAACUACGUG